CGAGACAGGGUACGCCGCAACAGAAUCAGCCGGCGCAUCCUCAUCCACAACGGGCUGUUCCGUCCGCCGCUCUCUUCACCUUUCCGCCACGUAUCAAAUCCCUCAACCGCGUACAUCCGCCACUCCCCUCCACCACCACCACCUGAGCCCUCACACAGCUCUCUCCCACUCUGCGUGACCCGUCCCUCCGUGCAACACCACCAACUGGGAUCACCCACAUCAACCACCCCAACAGAACCGACACUUCUUACGCGCCAUACCACUACGACUCCUGCGCCAUGUCCGGAGCCGUCGCCACCUUCACAAAUCCGCGACUGCUCGAGCGCCCUGUCAAUGAGCGCACCGAAUAUGAAGAUGCCUACCAGUGGCGUGGGCUCCCAGAGAAGCCGCAAGACACACAGGAAGACAUUAACAGCACCAACCCCUGUGUAGACCCCGCCAUGUACAACACGACCACCAAGGACGCCUACAAGCAGUACGACCCCGACGCGUACAGGCGCGAGCUGCCGGCGGACGACGGCGAGGGCUACGAGAAGGCGCCCGUGGACCCCGCCAUGUACAACACGACCACCAAGGACGCCUACAAGAAGUACGACCCCGACGCGUACAGGCGCGAGCUGCCGGCGGACGACGGCGAGGGCUACGAGAAGGCGCCCGUGGACCCCGCCAUGUACAACACGACCACCAAGGACGCCUACAAGCAGUACGACCCCGACGCGUACAGGCGCGAGCUGCCGGCGGACGACGGCGAGGGCUACGAGAAGGCGCCCGUGGACCCCGCCAUGUACAACACGACCACCAAGGACGCCUACAAGCAGUACGACCCCGACGCGUACAGGCGCGAGCUGCCGGCGGACGACGGCGAGGGCUACGAGAAGGCGCCCGUGGACCCCGCCAUGUACAACACGACCACCAAGGACGCCUACAAGCAGUACGACCCCGACGCGUACAGGCGCGAGCUGCCGGCGGACGACGGCGAGGGCUACGAGAAGGCGCCCGUGGACCCCGCCAUGUACAACACGACCACCAAGGACGCCUACAAGCAGUACGACCCCGACGCGUACAGGCGCGAGCUGCCGGCGGACGACGGCGAGGGCUACGAGAAGGCGCCCGUGGACCCCGCCAUGUACAACACGACCACCAAGGACGCCUACAAGCAGUACGACCCCGACGCGUACAGGCGCGAGCUGCCGGCGGACGACGGCGAGGGCUACGAGAAGGCGCCCGUGGACCCCGCCAUGUACAACACGACCACCAAGGACGCCUACAAGAAGUACGACCCCGACGCGUACAGGCGCGAGCUGCCGGCGGACGACGGCGAGGGCUACGAGAAGGCGCCCGUGGACCCCGCCAUGUACAACACGACCACCAAGGACGCCUACAAGCAGUACGACCCCGACGCGUACAGGCGCGAGCUGCCGGCGGACGACGGCGAGGGCUACGAGAAGGCGCCCGUGGACCCCGCCAUGUACAACACGACCACCAAGGACGCCUACAAGAGUACGACCCCGACGCGUACAGGCGCGAGCUGCCGGCGGACGACGGCGAGGGCUACGAGAAGGCGCCCGUGGACCCCGCCAUGUACAACACGACCACCAAGGACGCCUACAAGCAGUACGACCCCGACGCGUACAGGCGCGAGCUGCCGGCGGACGACGGCGAGGGCUACGAGAAGGCGCCCGUGGACCCCGCCAUGUACAACACGACCACCAAGGACGCCUACAAGCAGUACGACCCCGACGCGUACAGGCGCGAGCUGCCGGCGGACGACGGCGAGGGCUACGAGAAGGCGCCCGUGGACCCCGCCAUGUACAACACGACCACCAAGGACGCCUACAAGCAGUACGACCCCGACGCGUACAGGCGCGAGCUGCCGGCGGACGACGGCGAGGGCUACGAGAAGGCGCCCGUGGACCCCGCCAUGUACAACACGACCACCAAGGACGCCUACAAGAAGUACGACCCCGACGCGUACAGGCGCGAGCUGCCGGCGGACGACGGCGAGGGCUACGAGAAGGCGCCCGUGGACCCCGCCAUGUACAACACGACCACCAAGGACGCCUACAAGAAGUACGACCCCGACGCGUACAGGCGCGAGCUGCCGGCGGACGACGGCGAGGGCUACGAGAAGGCGCCCGUGGACCCCGCCAUGUACAACACGACCACCAAGGACGCCUACAAGCAGUACGACCCCGACGCGUACAGGCGCGAGCUGCCGGCGGACGACGGCGAGGGCUACGAGAAGGCGCCCGUGGACCCCGCCAUGUACAACACGACCACCAAGGACGCCUACAAGCAGUACGACCCCGACGCGUACAGGCGCGAGCUGCCGGCGGACGACGGCGAGGGCUACGAGAAGGCGCCCGUGGACCCCGCCAUGUACAACACGACCACCAAGGACGCCUACAAGCAGUACGACCCCGACGCGUACAGGCGCGAGCUGCCGGCGGACGACGGCGAGGGCUACGAGAAGGCGCCCGUGGACCCCGCCAUGUACAACACGACCACCAAGGACGCCUACAAGCAGUACGACCCCGACGCGUACAGGCGCGAGCUGCCGGCGGACGACGGCGAGGGCUACGAGAAGGCGCCCGUGGACCCCGCCAUGUACAACACGACCACCAAGGACGCCUACAAGCAGUACGACCCCGACGCGUACAGGCGCGAGCUGCCGGCGGACGACGGCGAGGGCUACGAGAAGGCGCCCGUGGACCCCGCCAUGUACAACACGACCACCAAGGACGCCUACAAGCAGUACGACCCCGACGCGUACAGGCGCGAGCUGCCGGCGGACGACGGCGAGGGCUACGAGAAGGCGCCCGUGGACCCCGCCAUGUACAACACGACCACCAAGGACGCCUACAAGAAGUACGACCCCGACGCGUACAGGCGCGAGCUGCCGGCGGACGACGGCGAGGGCUACGAGAAGGUGCCCGUGGACCCCGCCAUGUACAACACGACCACCAAGGACGCCUACAAGAAGUACGACCCCGACGCGUACAGGCGCGAGCUGCCGGCGGACGACGGCGAGGGCUACGAGAAGGCGCCCGUGGACCCCGCCAUGUACAACACGACCACCAAGGACGCCUACAAGCAGUACGACCCCGACGCGUACAGGCGCGAGCUGCCGGCGGACGACGGCGAGGGCUACGAGAAGGCGCCCGUGGACCCCGCCAUGUACAACACGACCACCAAGGACGCCUACAAGAAGUACGACCCCGACGCGUACAGGCGCGAGCUGCCGGCGGACGACGGCGAGGGCUACGAGAAGGCGCCCGUGGACCCCGCCAUGUACAACACGACCACCAAGGACGCCUACAAGCAGUACGACCCCGACGCGUACAGGCGCGAGCUGCCGGCGGACGACGGCGAGGGCUACGAGAAGGCGCCCGUGGACCCCGCCAUGUACAACACGACCACCAAGGACGCCUACAAGAAGUACGACCCCGACGCGUACAGGCGCGAGCUGCCGGCGGACGACGGCGAGGGCUACGAGAAGGCGCCCGUGGACCCCGCCAUGUACAACACGACCACCAAGGACGCCUACAAGCAGUACGACCCCGACGCGUACAGGCGCGAGCUGCCGGCGGACGACGGCGAGGGCUACGAGAAGGCGCCCGUGGACCCCGCCAUGUACAACACGACCACCAAGGACGCCUACAAGAAGUACGACCCCGACGCGUACAGGCGCGAGCUGCCGGCGGACGACGGCGAGGGCUACGAGAAGGCGCCCGUGGACCCCGCCAUGUACAACACGACCACCAAGGACGCCUACAAGCAGUACGACCCCGACGCGUACAGGCGCGAGCUGCCGGCGGACGACGGCGAGGGCUACGAGAAGGCGCCCGUGGACCCCGCCAUGUACAACACGACCACCAAGGACGCCUACAAGAAGUACGACCCCGAGCCGAACAUUCGUGGCGCCGAUGAGGUACCUUCUGAGGAGCAGUUAAUACCGCUGUCCGAGAGGGCUUUUUCUAGGCCAGCGGAGAGGCACGUAGUUGUUUCGGCUGAUGGCACUGCUGAUGCUGCCCCGUCUCGUGUUGAUGUUGCACAGAGGGUAGAUCCUCGUAUGCGCCGCGCGCAGGCUGACCUUGCAGGAUACGAGAGUACGUAUGCGAAGGACUACAAGCCCGCGGUAAAGAAGGAGGAGGCAGUGCCUGCUUCAGCUGCUGUGCCCGAUACUUCUGCGGAGAAGCCGGACCCGCGCAAGCGGCGCGCCCCUGCAGACCUUAGCAGCUACGAGAGCACAUAUGCGAAGGACUACGGCCGCUCUGAUGGUGCACCCGCUUCGUUGGUGGAAAAGCCGGUUGUGCCGCCGUUGAGGAUUCCUAGUGAAAUGAAGUCGGUGAAGAAGAACGGAACCGCGCGUACUUCGGUGCGCGAGCCCACCGCCGGCAGGCAGACAAAGAGAAGCGCGGCGCCGGCUGCUAAGGCGCAAGCACAGGUCUCCCCGUCCGCCUCAGCAGAGGAAGCGCCGGCCAAGAAGGCGCUGCAGGUAGCUCCAGCGAAGAAGGGUGAGCCAGCCGCGUCGCGGCCGCGUCCGAAGGGAUCGUACGAGACUGAAUACAACAAGAACUACCGUGCCUACAGCAGCAAACCCACCCCGGUCGAGACCCCGCAUCGCACGCAGGCUUGCGUCCAUCACGUGGACCCGGCCUUCUACACCACCACCUGCAGCUCUGCCUACGUGGCGCCAGCCGCGGCACCGGUGCGUUCGGCCUUUACACGCCCGACAGUAUCGGUGCGUCACGUGGACCCGGCCUUCUACACCACCACCUGCAGCUCUGCCUACGUGGCGCCAGCCGCGGCACCGGUGCGUUCGGCCUUUACACGCCCGACAGUAUCGGUGCGUCACGUGGACCCUAGCAUGUACGUCAGCACAAGCCGUGCCGCUUACGCGUAAGCGGCGCAGUUCAUGCGGUGCGUGGCUAUGUCUGUUGGAUGUCGACGUGUCUCUGCGUGUGGUUGCUUCGCGGUUUUCGAGGAACGGUGUGGUUCAGGUCGGGGGGGGGCUCGCAGCGGAUGAUAUCGACGCCACAAAGAGCGGAGGGUGCAGAGUACAUGACGGUGGCUGUCCUCUUCCCACUUCACCUCGCUCUCGCUGAUGCGUGUCUCCUUGCGUUGCUUUCCUGUCGCGACAGGAGCGCUGUGCCGUACGCCUUCUCUUCGCUUUCGGUUCGUUUUUUUUUUCGUUACGUUCUCGCUGUUGUUCAGGAAGACCCCUCCCCCUCCCCUCCCCUCCCCUGACACAACGACGGGAUGAGGGAAUCAGGGACAGGUCUGUGUGUGUGUGUGUGUCGCUUCACGCGUGUGUUAUGUGCGUCCGCCUUUUUCUUUGUUGCUCUUCUCUUAUGCCUCUUUGGCGGUCAGUCAGUGCCACCCACAGGCAGACAGGCACACAGACGCUCAACCCUCUCCUCGUUCGUGUGCGCUUCAACAUGGCAGGCGCGCCCUUCGUUGCCUUUCGCCUUCCCUCUAUACAUCACCGUCUUCUUGUUAGUUCCACACACGUACACACAAUCACACACAAUUGUGCGAACACAACGCGCUCAUGUUCGCACGCGCCACAUCAAGAGGGCACCCUCCCCUUUUCUUAUCAGCAAGUUUCUUGUCCUCGUACAUCAGCGCUCUUAUCCCCCCUCCCUCCCUCAGCCCACCCCCACCCAUCCACUCACUCACUCACUCUCCCUCUUUCGGCCCUUCCGAGUGCAGAAGACGAGACGAACAGAACACAGUGGCAGGCACGCUUGCAUCAUCAUCGCUGCCAUCAUCGUCUCUUCCUUCUCUCAUCUCUUUCUCUCUCUGUGCGCGAGCGUGCGUGUGUGCUUGUGCGGAUGUGUCUCUUCGCCCCCUCUCCCCCCACCACCUCCACCACAGCCAUCGACUCCCUUGUCUUUCCUUUCCUGUACCGUCUUUUUGCCCACCUAACCCUCCUCUCUGGUUCUGCUUCGCUCGCGAGUUUUUUCGAUGUAUGCUGGUGUGCUUUCGAAGCUGGCGCGUCUGUGCCUACCUCGUAACUCUCAUUUUUUUCGUGUUUGGUGCUGGACGCGGGAGAUGGAGAUCAUGCGUGCCACCCUUGCAGGGGGGCGGGGGGAGGGGCACAAGCGGUUUGUACCCCACCCCCACACCCGCCGACCCCCUUCUUUUUCUCCGUCUGUGUGUCCUCGGACGAGCGGCCACAGCCCUGUACCUCCUCCACGCCGCGUGCCCCUCCUGUGCCUCUUUUCUUUCUUUGGUACUGUGUACGCUUGUGCGACGUCCUCAGCGUGACUGAUCCAGCGCUUGUUGCGCACGCAACAGCACCGAAUAAGACGGGACCAGCUCGCUCCGCCUCCUCUGAGCAUGAUUCUCGCUACACGAGUGGGUGCAUGCAUGUACGCCCACGCUGCUGACCGCGUGCGCCUGCCGGCACAGCCGUCUUGCCAUGGUGGAGGGGCAUUCCCAAAAAUCGAGCAAGACGUGUAAUGUCCGCGCGCGGACGCACGCGUGGGACGUGUCUCUCUCUCUCUGCGUUACCUUGCGUGUCGGUGUACGAAGAGGAUCUGGCCUGCUUCUGUCGCUCGGUCGAUUGGUCGGUCGGCGUCAGCGCCGGUGUGCCCGUUCGUUUGCCGUCGUGCGUGUGUCGUCUGCCGUGGGCAUGCACGGGCAGUCUUGCACGCCUUAUCUUCGCCUUCUUUGGUUGUUUUGCCUUUAUAUAUAUAUAUAUAUAUAUAUACAUGCAUGUAUAUGUGUAUGUGUGUGUGUACGGGAUGUACAUGACUGCUAUAUAUAUUAUAUAUGUCUUCGUAUGUAUAUAUAUAUACAUAUAUAGCUGUAUAUACACGUAUGUUUGUAUGUAUGUGUCCUCUUCACCUUCUUUCUGUAUCGACGACAGAGCCGCCGGCGCAAAACAACAAAAGAAAGGAAGGGAGUAAGAGAGAAGGAACGGGUGUGAACCGAGGGCCCGGGGCACAGAGAGAGAAGAGACGGUAAGAGAGGAGGAAGAAGGAAGUGCACGCACAUGCACGCGCAUGGGGACCACGAGAAGGGCGUGUGCGUGUGCUGCUGCUGCGACGGAUACAGCGGAAUCAAUGGGAGUGUCGGGCUCCUUCACGUGUUUACACGUCCCAUCCAUCACCAGAUGAACAGCAGCGCUAGUCGUACAGCAUGACACCCCUUGCGGCGCCCCCCCCCUCUCUCUGUCGCUCUUUCUCCCUGUCUCACUCAGCCCAACCCAACUCCCCUCCCCACUCUCCGACUCCCAACCUACGCAUGCACACGCACGCCCUUUUUCUUCAUCUGCGCCACCCUCCCCUCCUCCUCUUUCUCUUCUGUAUUGUAUUUCCUUAAUGUCUUCACUAUUUUACCAUGCGUGCGUGCGUGCGUGUGUGUGUGUGUCCGUGUGUUGGGGGUAG
rnacentral:misc_RNA from 1 species